rnacentral:rRNA from 1 species
UCGAGAAUUUUUCUCAAUGGGGGAAACCCUGAAGGAGCGACGCCGCGUGGAGGAUGAAGGCUUUCGGGUUGUAAACUCCUGUCAUUUGGGAACAAUGGUUACGCGUUAACUGCGCGUGACUUGAUAGUACCAGAAGAGGAAGAGACGGCUAACUCUGUGCCAGCAGCCGCGGUAAUACAGAGGUCUCAAGCGUUGUUCGGAUUCAUUGGGCGUAAAGGGUGCGUAGGUGGCGUGGUAAGUCGGGUGUGAAAUCUCGGAGCUUAACUCCGAAAUUGCAUUUGAUACUGCCGUGCUUGAGGACUGGAGAGGAGACUGGAAUUCAUGGUGUAGCAGUGAAAUGCGUAGAGAUCAUGAGGAAGACCAGUGGCGAAGGCGGGUCUCUGGACAGUUCCUGACACUGAGGCACGAAGGCCAGGGGAGCAAACGG